UCGAAUUAAAACUAAAAAUUAAACAAUUUUGUCAUUAUCCAAUACAUGAAACAAAUUAAUCUAACAUAUUAUUGGAAUCAAACAAAUAAAAGUGGAAGGACAUCACCGAAAAUUGACGGACGUGUUUAACUCCAAUUAUAAUCUAAUAAUCCGCGUCUUUCUUGCGGUUGCCGUCUUCAUAUUUUCCGUAGUGUUUAACUGCAAUUUUUCCUUAAGCUGCUACCCAAUUUAAUUGCUGCCUAUAUGCGUGUGUAACAAUUCUGCUUCUUCAAUUUCCUUCUGCCGGCCAUCAAUUUAUAUGUAUAAAAAAUCUGAUUCACAGCUGCCCACUUGUCUCCAACAGCCAGCCUUUUCUCUCGUCUCUCAAUUUCUCCUUAAAAGCAACCACCAAUUUGUAGUUUAUUUUCCAUCUUUUCUCCCCCUAGCUACCGGUUUUGUUGACUCCAAAAGAGUGAAAUUCCAACUGUUUCUUUUCUCCCAGCAAUUGUAUUAAUUUAGCAGCCCUUUUGCAAUCCAAGUUCAGCCGCCGAUUUUUUGUGUAUAUGUGUGUCUCCACCACCAAUUGCCUCUGCCGUGUGUGUGUGUGUGUAUAUUAACCAAAAGCCUACAACCCCCUUCACACUGCCCUUUUUUUUUCUUUUAGGUUUUUCUCCCCAGUUGUCGUCUCCUUUUUU
rnacentral:lncRNA from 1 species